UACGUAGGGCGCAAGCGUUGUCCGGAAUUAUUGGGCGUAAAGAGCUCGUAGGCGGUUUGUCGCGUCUGCUGUGAAAACCUAAGGCUCAACCUUGGGCUUGCAGUGGGUACGGGCAGACUAGAGUGCGGUAGGGGUGACUGGAAUUCCUGGUGUAGCGGUGAAAUGCGCAGAUAUCAGGAGGAACACCGGUGGCGAAGGCGGGUCUCUGGGCCGAAAUUGACGCUGAGGAGCGAAAGCGUGGGGAGCAAACAGG
rnacentral:rRNA from 1 species